CACUUUGCUGUUGAUCCAGCAGUCAUCCAGAAGAAGAAGAGAUUUAUAUACAGUACACCAAUAGUUUUGUGGACGGUAUGUUCUGGAUCUCUUCAGUGAUGUCUAAAGGAGCCAGCUACAUGUGCUAAGAAUGGAUCAGCUUAGGCUGCCAUACCCCUUAUCUCCUUUAGAACCAUCACUGAUGCUACUGUUCCAAGAUAGUUUGCCAGGAAAGGAGCUGAGUGCUUAGAUGGUCAUGAAUGGUUUCCACCCACCUGCAAUGAAAGGUUGUCGUUCUUCAUAACUGCUUAAGCCUAAUGAAUAGAACCUUAUAAGUCAUACUAGAAAUACUGGGAAAUAUAUCCUUUGUUAGUCUGUUUGUGGAGUCGCAAUCUUCUAUAGAACAUUACUAGCUUUAAGGGCAAGGCUUACUAUGCAGUGUGCUAUGGGAGCAAUUGGACAGCUGCAAAGGCAUUCACUUGAUUGCACUAGAAAGGGUCACUUUAAGAGGAGUGGGUUCCCUUAAAGCAAUCCUUCUGUUUGCCAGGGAUCCAUUCCAGCCCAGCCUUCAAAAGUAAAAGCCUUGCAGCUGGACCAAAAAGUUCCAGCUUAGACGCAGACCAAGGUCAGGUUGGAAUGCACUUCUCUGUGCAUCCUGUGAUUGCCGGGAAACAAGUUACACCAGACUGCUCCACAAGUGGUCAAAAUGGCAGUCUAUCUCCCUGUGUGAUCACACCAUUGCAUUAUACAAACAGCUGCUUUUCAGAGAAAGGAAGGGUUGCCGGACGUAUCUAGCCCAGCUAAGAGUGCUGUGUGAUGCCAAGGCAGAGAAACAAAGCAGAAAUCUCGUGUACUUCUUUCUAUCCAAAACUCUGCCCAGCGCAACAUCUCUGCACCCAUCUUUGUAGCUGUGCAUGCAGCUAGUUCUGUUUUGGUAGCAUAUGAAAAUGUGGAAGUUCUAUUUUGGGAAGUACAGGGAGAACACAUUUUAUGUUAUAAGUUGCCUUAGGAGAAUGCUUUAUUCAUGGGGGGUGGGGAGGGGAAUCAGAACAUUCAGCAAAAAGAGAAGAGGAAGAAUAAGCUGCAUCUUAUACAACACAGUGUGUGAUGACUCUUUGAUAUUCUUUUUUUGGUGAAGCUUUAGAGGGAAGAUCACAGUAGCCUGAUGCAACUAGGCAAAAACAAUUCUAACUUGGUGGGAUGGGGGAUGGGAUGAGAUGAGGCAAUGGGCUAUGUUUUGUCACAUUUCCUUUGGCAUGACAUAGCAUCAGCUGCCUCUUGCGUGUUCCCUGUCUGAUGAUAUUCAAAAUAGAGAAUCAUAAUAGCCAAAUGCAACUACUAUCAUUCCUAUUUUGAGAUGAGAUAGGGCACCGGAUGAUAUCUGUCCAUACAAAAUUAUGCCACACUUUCAUGCCUUCAGAAAUGUGGCUACAAUGUGGAGAACACUGUGGGUCACGUGCAGCUGGCUGCCAUGACACUCAUAGUGAUUGCAUGCAGUGACACAGGGCACAGGAGCCAUCCAAAUCCUUAUGGAAAUGGACAGUAUGGACACCAAAUGAUUGAUGGACAGAUAGACAGACUAAUGUGAUCUAUGGUAGCCUUAAAUUUUCAUAGGCUUUUGCCAAUGUUGGCUCACAAACCCAGUAGUUGCCUGUAUGACUUACUGUUUGUCCUUAAAUGUCACACAAUGCUUUCUCUCUUACAGAGCAAUGUCAAAGUCAGUUAUGCGCUGAGGGAGGAAAUCAGGGUGAACAGUUCUCCUUAAUCAACAUAAUGGUGUCAGUCUGCGAGGUACAUUGAGAAAUCCGCAUCUAUGUCCUUAUUCAGGGAGAAGUUAAAGAGCUACUUUUAUGUGCUUGGCUAGUCCUCAAAAAUAUAAAAAUGUAAGAAGACGCAUGUUGAACCAGGUCAAAGGCCUGUCUCGUCUAACAUUCUGUUACACAACUGCCUAUAGAAACCCCGGAAGCAGGAUAUGAACACAAUCACAACCUUUUUUGAGCCAUGACCCCCUUUAUAACAGCCAAGUAACUUGUGACCCCCACACUGAUAUUGGUACAUACUUAAUCUGUAUAGUCACUAUUAACUGCCUCAGCUGCCAUGGAUUUGGCAAUUCUUUUUAAAAGCCAUGCAUGUUACUGGCCACCACUGAACUUGAUCCUCUGAUGUAGACAUCUCUCUCUCUCUUUCCUGGGUCUAAACCUAUUGUCUUGUUUUUAAAACCACUUUUGUCGAUAAUUCCAAGAAGCUAGCUGGAGGGACAGCAAGAGAAAAAAAGCACUUAUAAGAAGGAUAGCUUGUUUUCUUUAUUAUAAGAUGAAGCACUAAAAGAAUGCUAACGGGAUGAGUGCCUCUGUUUGGUGUGCCUUCCAUGCCUUAUGCCAUACACUGUAAACAGUAAAUUUUGGGGUAGCUAGAAGUAAUUUUUUAAUGUGUGUUGAAAAGUUGUUUUCUCUGAUCAGUUCUAGUACUCAAAACAAAUUUGUAGGCACAUAUAUUUUUUUAAAAACGUUGAAGCUCUGUUCUGGGCACUCAGACUGUAGGUCAAUCCAGUGAUCCCCUAUAAGUAACAUAAAUAGAAGAGUAGUUAGAAACCUGGAAGCAAAACCAGAUAGGAAGGAAAAUCCCACCCUUGAACAGAUAUUUCAAGUUAAUUUCACUCCACAUUCAUGAAAAGAACAUAAAUAUAAAUGGAUGCACAUUUUUAAAGAGUACUGUAUCUUCUUUCCCGCUUGGAACUGCCUGAUGCAUGUCCCAUGAAGUGCCUAAUGAUUAUGCUGUCAGUGUUUGCUUUCUGUGAUGUUGGUAUUUGUCACAAUAUGCCCCCCCCCCCCGAUUAUGGUUCCGGACUUGGGGAAGGGGAGGGAACUAAGGCUGUGUUUGAAUUUGGUGUACUCAAAUCGGCGUGCUGCAUUAGAGUUGCAGGAUCUGAUCCCCUGCUGGUUUUCUAAGGCUCCUGUUGGAGUGGGGAAUAGAUAACCACACCCCUAUGGCUAGAAGAUUAAGGUUUUUGCUUUUGUGGAAAUCCAACAUGGAAGCAGGAACCUUUCCUCUUGAGUCUCAGUGCUGAUGGUAGAAAAAAGAUGAAAACAGUGGGAGUUGGGUGAGGGACCUCCUCUGAACAUGUUUGCAAUAUAUGAUUGAAGUGUGUUAGUUUCUUAUUUGUUCUGGCUGUUGGAUUUGCUUUCCCCAGAAAUUAUCCAUCAUUAUUCCAUAAAAGUCCCAAAUAAAGCUGUAUCCUGCUUAACA
rnacentral:lncRNA from 1 species